rnacentral:snRNA from 1 species
GUGCUUGCUUCAGCAGCACAUAUACUAAAAUUGGAAUGAUACAGAGAAGAUUAGCAUGGCCCCUGCACAAGGAUGACAUGCAAAUUCGUGAAGUGUUCCAUUAAAAA